rnacentral:rRNA from 1 species
AGCCCAGCAGCUAGCUUUAACCUUAAAAUUCAAUAACCCCCUAUUAAUAAACCCUAAUAACCGAACCAACUAAAAACAAACCAUUUUUCCCCCCAAGUAUGGGUGACAGAAAAGGAAACACCAAAAGCAAUAGAAAAAGUACCGCAAGGGAAAGCUGAAAGAGAAAUGAAACAAACCAGUAAAGCACAAAAAAGCAGAGCUAAAAACUCGUACCUUUUGCAUCAUGAUUUAGCAAGAAGAACUCAGGCAAAAAGAAUUGUAGUCUGACACCCCGAAACCAAGUGAGCUACUCCAAGACAGCCUUAUGGGCUAACCCGUCUCUGUGGCAAAAGAGUGGGGAGAGCUUUGAGUAGAGGUGACAGACCUACCGAACUUGGUUAUAGCUGGUUGUCCAAGAACUGAACAGGAGUUCAGCCCUCUGUUUUCUUCCCCCAGUAGCCUUCACUUAAGACCUAAGUGCAAAAGAAGAUCAGAGGAGUUAAUCAAAGGGGGUACAGCCCCUUUGACAAAGACACAACUUUACCAGAAGGAUUAAGAUCACAUCAUAAAAGGAAAAGUGUUCUAGUUGGCCUAAAAGCAGCCACCCAUGCAGAAAGCGUUAAAGCUCAUACACACAUUCCACCCAUUAUCCGGACCACCCCAUCUUACCCCUCUACCCUUAUUGGACCUUUCCAUUAUUUCCAAUGGAAGAGAUUAUGCUAUAAUGAGUAAUAAGAGACUAAGCAUCUCUCCCUGCACAAGUGUAUAUCGGAACGAACCCCCACCGAAAAUUAACGGCCCCAAAGAAGAGGGUAAUAGAGCAAUAUGGAAGCGCCACUAGAAAAGCAUCUAAACUAAUAACCGUUAACCUUACACCAGAGUGCAUACAAGGAAAGACUAAAAGAAAAAGAAGGAACUCGGCA